GUGAAUGUGUGUGUGCGUGUCUGCCGGAGGUCACAUGACGGUUUCAUCCUAUUUGGUGGAGCAGCUUGACUUUUUUUUCCCCUUGCUUUUGGUGAUGGUUGUGAGUGCAGAAGUUGAUUGACAGAUGCAUACCAGAAAGCCCCAUUCUCCUUUUCAAAGACAACAUAUGAUGGAUUGCGAUCUCUCAGCCCAGCAGGAUACGGGGACCAUGCAAGCUGUAAUUGGUCAGCGGCCUGCCAGCGGAGUGCUGCAAGUGCGAGAGGCAAAAGGCACCCAGUAAAUGGAGCCAGGGAACCUCAGCCCUCAAACUUCCACGCGAGGCUUCACAGCAAAAAUCGAAACCACCACCACCUCCACCACAAAAAUCCAAGGGCGAAUCUCAUUUCUAAUUUGGUCUGGAUGGGGUGGGUUUUGUUUUGUUUUGUUUUGGUGAUUUGAUGUUUCAGAGUUUAUUUUCUGCCGAGAUGGUGAUCUCUGAAGGAAAGUGUGAGGGGGGAAUAAAGUGCCAUGUUUCCUAGGUGGUAGUUAAAAUUGUUGUGUUCCGUAUUUUUUAUUUUGGCUAUAUUCUCUCUCUUUUUCCCUCUCCCUCUCCCUCCCUCUCCCUCUCCAUAUGGAAAAUCGGAAUCCAGCAAUACACGUGCCUUCACUUCUAACCCAGAUAAUGUGUGAUUGAGUCCUGGUAAAUGUAGUAGUGGUCUUGGCUGCUGCAGAGAGGCAGGCAGCAAAUUAAACAUUGCCACAUUCUGAAAGGUCCAGGUGGUCUGCUCGGCUUCCUAAUGCAAUCCAGCACCAGGGCUUUAAUAAACAGCUCUAUUUAGUUCCUCCUCCCUGGAUCCAGGGAGGUGAACUGGUCUGGGGCUGCUGUGAUGAAAUGCCAGAAGAAUAUCUCUCUGAGGCCUCCCAAGCUGAUUUUUAGAGCUUUGCUGUUCUGUCGUCUUUGUCUUCCAAAUGGGCAUGACCUGUCUGGGGUUGUGUUACCCUGUGUGCUGUUUACUGGCAAGACGCUGAGAGAAUGUUCUUGUAAUGAUCCAAGAGGAAGUGGCAAAUGAAUGCUC